AUUGAACGCUGGCGGCAGGCCUAACACAUGCAAGUCGGACGGUAGCACAGAGGAGCUUGCUCCUCGGGUGACGAGUGGCGGACGGGUGAGUAAUGUCUGGGGAUCUGCCCGAUAGAGGGGGAUAACCACUGGAAACGGUGGCUAAUACCGCAUAACGUCGCAAGACCAAAGAGGGGGACCUUCGGGCCUCUCACUAUCGGAUGAACCCAGAUGGGAUUAGCUAGUAGGCGGGGUAACGGCCCACCUAGGCGACGAUCCCUAGCUGGUCUGAGAGGAUGACCAGCCACACUGGAACUGAGACACGGUCCAGGCUCCUACGGGAGGCAGCAGUGGGGCAUAUUGCACAAUGGGCGAAAGCCUGAUGCAGCCAUGCCGCGUGUAUGAAGAAGGCCUUCGGGUUGUAAAGUACUUUCAGCGGGGAGGAAGGCGAUGUGGUUAAUAACCGCAUUGAUUGACGUUACCCGCAGAAGAAGCACCGGCUAACUCCGUGCCAGCCGCCGCCGUAA
rnacentral:rRNA from 1 species